GCCACAGCAAUCUUUCCUUGUCCGCAUAUUGUGGCCAAGAGCGCCCUGUAAAGAAAAGUUUUUCCUGUGCCUCCAGGUCCAUCAACAAAGAAUAUACCUCCUCUUUGGCAUUCAAUUGUUGCUAGGAUUUUGUCGUAGGCCUCCCUCUGCUCGUUGUUUAGGUUUUUAUUCAAAGAUAUGUCUUCAUGAUCCACCUCGAUGGAGGACUCCUCGAUGAUCUCCCUUGGUACGUCAUCUGUUGUCUCAUGUUGUUGGUCAAUCUUUGGAAGAGGAAAUGAUUCUAUGUCUUUUCCCAUUGAUUGCAACAUGUCUCUGAUAUUUUUGAGAACCAUUUGUUCGACCGUGUGCUUGCAUUUGCAAUUUCUGCUAUAGUCCUCUGACAUUGCCUCGAGGUGUUUGUUCCAGAGGCUACGUACGUCGCUAGGCUCGCAAAAAACCAAGAUUGUCGCAAAUAGCCUUCGUAGUGAUGAUGGCAUUCGAAAGAAUUCUGCUUCUGUCAUGCAAUCGUCCAAUGUGCUAUCUGCCUCGAUUAGUCCUCUUUUUUCUGCAGCUUCACGAAAGGUAGGCAUUACUUGUCCAUCGACUGUUCGUAGGUCUUCAUAGCUGGUGGCGCCUGUCACAUGGUUUAGUAGUACUCGAAGAUAGUAUCGUUCUCCUUCAGCCGGGUGUGCUGAGACGAUCCUGCCAACCUGGAACACAGCGGCUCGCUUCCUCUGUUGCCAAAACUUUCCCUGACUUUGCCAACUAUAAUGUUCUGGAAACUCUCUGUAUAGUAUGCCUCGUGCUUUUUCAUGUAAGCUAUUUGCUUCAAAGUACGCAGUCAACAUUGACCUUUCUGUGCCUUCACGGUCAAUAACAUUCUGUAUUUUUUCCAUUCCAUGAUAUGAAACCAUGUGCAUAUUUGGGAGAUGUAGCUGCAGUUGCAAGACCGGUGGGUGCAUUUUGCUUAGCUCGAAGCCAUAUAUUCUCCACAAUGCUUCAGGAGGUGUCACCCACCGUGCGUCUCUGUAUUGCUUAAUCUCAUCGAUUUCGACGUCGUCUGCUUUGUCAGUGACAGAUACAGAUGCUCGGUCAUGACCCUUGUAGAUGUACUUGAAGAGAUACUUAACGGCUUUAAUGCUUGAGAAUAUCUCAACAUUUAUGUGGUAGUUCAACAUCUUUAACAGAUAUGGAUUGUAAGGAACCACCCACCUGUUAUCUAGUUUGCAAUUUCGGACCGUUUCAGUCCGACCGUCAUCGCGUCUCCUAUAUAUUGGGUAGGAGUCCUUGCCUUGAAUCGUAGUUUCGUUAAAUGUCCUUGGAUAAUUAUUCUUGCAUGAUGGGCGAUUCUUUGUGCAUGGACAAAGUCUAUUCAAUGCACCGCAAGGACCAUGCAUCAUAUGUUUGAUUACCAUUCUGUAUAGAUUUGGGUACUUGUGCUUGUUAGGGAGUUCUGCAGAGAUGAUUCUGUCAUAUUGCUCUGGACAUGUGUACUUGUAUUUUCCGAUCAUGAUUAGCAGAAAGUGUGCAUGGGGUAAUCCCCUCUUUUGGAAUUCUACGACAUACGUAUAUGCUUGAACCUUUCCAAGAAUGGCCUUCUCAAAUAGUUGUUUCUUCAUUUCUUGUAGCUUGGCCCUGAAAACACG
rnacentral:lncRNA from 1 species